rnacentral:rRNA from 1 species
UACGUAGGGUGCAAGCGUUAAUCGGAAUUACUGGGCGUAAAGCGUGCGCAGGCGGUUUUGUAAGUCUGUCGUGAAAGCCCCCGGGCUUUAACCCUGGGGAAUUGCGAUGGAGACUGCAAGGCUUGAAUCUGGCAGAGGGGGGUAGAAUUCCACGUGUAGCAGUGAAAUGCGUAGAGAUGUGGAGGAACACCGAUGGCGAAGGCAGCCCCCCUGGGUCAAGAUUGACGCUCAUGCACGAAAGCGUGGGGAGCAAACAGG